rnacentral:rRNA from 1 species
CUGCACCUCAAGUGGUCAGGAUGAUUAUUGGGCCUAAAGCAUCCGUAGCCGGCGCUGUAAGUUUUCGGUUAAAUCUGUACGCUCAACGUACAGGCUGCCGGGAAUACUGCAGCGCUAGGGAGUGGGAGAGGUAGACGGUACUCGGUAGGAAGGGGUAAAAUCCUUUGAUCUAUUGAUGACCACCUGUGGCGAAGGCGGUCUACCAGAACACGUCCGACGGUGAGGGAUGAAAGCUGGGGGAGCAAACCGGAUUAGAGACCCCCGUAGUCC